rnacentral:lncRNA from 1 species
AUAUUUCCUCAGUCGACACUGCAAGUCCAAGACCUAAGGGGAUGUGUGUAUGUGUGUAUGUUUGUGUUUGUGUGUGUGUGUGGUGAAUUAUCAGAGAGGGAACCAAAGGCUAAAGGGAGCAGAGGACCUGAUAAGACGGCACCAGCGAGGAAUCCAAAAGAAACUUCUGCCCACAGCUUCCUCAGUCUCUAUAGCAACAGCUGCCGAGGCUCCGUGCAGAAAAGAGACGAUUGGUAUUCUCCCUUACCUCCUCCUCACCGACAGCAAACAUCACUCUCAUCAAAGGCUCCCGUCUUUGAUCAGGUCUUCAAAGAAGCGUGUCAUCAAAGUCUAUCAGGAGCAGGAUGUGUGUGCCAAUGCGGUGAUGGCCGGCAGGUUUAUCUAAGCUGACAGAGAUGAAUCUCCCAGCAGAGGGCUGGGCCUGUUCAGCUGUCCUGCUGAGGGGGAGCCCACACCAGGGCUGACAUUAAAUUAUUUCAGGAGG